UCGACCUUGAAAGCGUCCCUGUAGAUGCAGCGAAUAUAAUGAUCCCUGGGAGUAUUUACGUAUCCACGUUGAAAAUCUCAACAUGAAUGAAACAAGAUACAUGAAAAAUUACAAGGAAAAGGGACAACGGACUGUAAUGAAAGAGGAUGCAUUCUAAUUUUUUAUGUCGUAGUUUGCCUAAGGUCGUUAAAUGUACAGCUAAAUAAAAUUACGAAAUUUUAAAAAAA